rnacentral:rRNA from 1 species
UAAAAAAAUCAGGCCUGCCCACUGAUUAAUUGAAGGGCUGCAGUAUUUUGACUGUACAAAGGUAGCAUAAUCAUUAGUCUUUUAAUUGGGGACUGGUAUGAAAGGUUUGACGGAGAUUGGUUGUCUCGGACUUAAAGUUGUGAAUUUUAUUUUUAAGGAAAAGAGCUUAAAUGCUGCAAAGGGACGAGAAGACCCUAUUAAAUUUCAUUGUUGCUAAGUAAAAUUUUAUUUGUAUAAAAUUUUUAUUUAAAAAAUAAUUUUGCUGGGGCGGUAAAUAAUUAACAUUAUUGGUUUUUAAUAGUUUAAUUAGCUUUAUUAUGAUCCACUAGGUGUGAUAUUAAGAAUAAAUUACUAUAGGGAUAACAGCGUAAUGUUUUUUGAGAGUUCAUAUUGACAAAAAUGUUUGCGACCUCGAUGUUGGAUUAAGGAGUCUUAUCGGUGCAGUAGUUGAUAAAGAAGGUCUGUUCGACCUUUAAAUCCUUACAUGAUCUGAGUUCAAACCGGA